rnacentral:rRNA from 1 species
GACGAACGCUGGCGGCGUGCCUAAUACAUGCAAGUCGAACGCAGUGGGGACGGGUGCGUAACACGUGGGUAACCUCCCAUCAGAGGGGAUAACAUUUGGCAACAGGUGCUAAACCGAUAUUUAUGGCUGGACCCGAGGUGCAUUAGCUAGUGGGUGCGGUAACGGCUCACCAAGGCCACGAUGCAUAGCCGACCUGAGAGGGUGAUCGGCCACACUGGGACGAAGACACGGCCCAGACUCCUACGGGAGGCAGCAGUAGGGAAGCUUCGGCAAGGGACGAAAGUCUGACCGAGCCACGCCGCGUGAGUGAAGAAGGUUUUCGGAUCGUAAAACUCUGUUGUUGGAGAAGCGGUAUCUAACCAGAAAGCCACGGCUAACUACGUGCCAGCCGCCGCGGUAAUAC